rnacentral:rRNA from 1 species
UGCUUGGGAAUAUGCCUUUUGGUGGGGGACAACAGUUGGAAACGACUGCUAAUACCGCAUAAUGUUUACGGACCAAAGUGGGGGACCUUCGGGCCUCACGCCAAAAGAUUAGCCCAAGUGAGAUUAGCUAGUUGGUGGGGUAAAGGCCUACCAAGGCGACGAUCUCUAGCUGGUUUGAGAGGAUGAUCAGCCACACUGGGACUGAGACACGGCCCAGACUCCUACGGGAGGCAGCAGUGGGGAAUAUUGCACAAUGGGGGAAACCCUGAUGCAGCCAUGCCGCGUGUGUGAAGAAGGCCU